AUUGAACGCUGGCGGCAUGCUUUACACAUGCAAGUCGAACGGUAACAGGCCUUCGGGUGCUGACGAGUGGCGAACCGGUGAGUAAUGCAUCGGAACGUGCCCAGAGGUGGGGGAUAACGCAGCGAAAGCUGUGCUAAUACCGCAUGUGAUCUGAGGAUGAAAGCGGGGGACCAGGCAGCAAUGUUUGGCCUCGCGCCUUUGGAGCGGCCGAUGUCAGAUUAGGUAGUUGGUGGGGUAAAGGCCUACCAAGCCGACGAUCUGUAGCUGGUCUGAGAGGACGACCAGCCACACUGGGACUGAGACACGGCCCAGACUCCUACGGGAGGCAGCAGUGGGGAAUUUUGGACAAUGGGCGCAAGCCUGAUCCAGCAAUGCCGCGUGCGGGAAGAAGGCCUUCGGGUUGUAAACCGCUUUUGUACGGAACGAAAAGGCUCUGGCUAAUACCUGGGGCUGAUGACGGUACCGUAAGAAUAAGCACCGGCUAACUACGUG
rnacentral:rRNA from 1 species